GAAUUGAAAGCUAAUAAAUAUAAGCAACGACCUUGUAAGUCGAAGACAGAGAAUACCUCUCAAUUCU
rnacentral:tRNA from 1 species